rnacentral:lncRNA from 1 species
UGCGUGUGUGCGUACGUGGGUGUAUGCAUACAUGUGUGUGUGCGUGCGCACGCAAAGUUAAGCCUUUACGGAUCUCCCGGGUUCUCUUGCCUUCCUCCUUGGUUUGAUUCAGAGCUGGAUAAACAGCCCCCUUUACAUCCAGCCGGCUCCUCCACACCAUUCUUAUCUGAGUUUCAUUUUAACUGGACUCAGGCCACGGAACCUCUGGCUGCCACCUGCCUGUUCAGCAGGACGGUAUUUAGGGGAGAGUGUGACAUUUUGUGAGAACCGAAGAUUCAGGAAUGUUAAUCUCCAAUUCCCUAGGCUUAUGUCAACACGACGAUGUCAGUAAUCCAACCCUUCCCACGUUAUCCGAGCAUUUCCAAGUGGUCUGCAUGGAUCUGGUCCAGAACAGCUGGAAAGACAGCUCUGGACCCACCCGGGUCCUCCCCUGUGAGCUGGAUUUGUGGGGAAUGUUUCACUUCCGUAUUCAGUAAAAGAUGGUUCCUUCCAAAUUUCUGUUUUCCUGGGAAACGCCACUGGUAA